rnacentral:rRNA from 1 species
CCUACGUGGGGCAGCAGUGGGGAAUAUUGCACAAUGGGGGAAACCCUGAUGCAGCGACGCCGCGUGAGUGAAGAAGUAUUUCGGUAUGUAAAGCUCUAUCAGCAGGGAAGAAGAAAGACGGUACCUGUCUAAGAAGCCCCGGCUAACUACGUGCCAGCAGCCGCGGUAAUACGUAGGGGGCAAGCGUUAUCCGGAUUUACUGUGUGUAAAGGGAGCGUAGACGGGUGUGCAAGUCUGAAGUGAAAGCCCAGGGCUCAACCCUGGGACUGCUUUGGAAACUGUGGAGCUGGAGUGCUGGAGAGGUAAGUGGAAUUCCUAGUGUAGCGGUGAAAUGCGUAGAUAUUAGGAGGAACACCAGUGGCGAAGGCGGCUUACUGGACAGUAACUGACGUUGAGGCUCGAAAGCGUGGGGAGCAAACAGGAUUAGAUACCCCAGUAGUC